UACGUAGGGGGCGAGCGUUGUCCGGAUUUAUUGGGCGUAAAGCGCGUGUAGGCGGCCUGGAAGGUCCGUUGUGAAAACUCGAGGCUUAACCUCGAGACGUCGAUGGAAACCGCCAGGCUAGAGUCCGGAAGAGGAGAGUGGAAUUCCCGGUGUAGCGGUGAAAUGCGCAGAUAUCGGGAAGAACACCCGUGGCGAAGGCGGCUCUCUGGGACGGUACUGACGCUGAGACGCGAAAGCGUGGGGAGCGAACAGG
rnacentral:rRNA from 1 species